UACAGAGGGUGCAAGCGUUAAUCGGAAUUACUGGGCGUAAAGCGUGCGUAGACGGUUAUCUAAGUCGGGUGUGAAAUCCCCGGGCUCAACCUGGGAAUUGCAUUCGAAACUGGAUAGCUAGAGUUCGGCAGAGGGAAGUGGAAUUUCCGGUGUAGCGGUGAAAUGCGUAGAUAUCGGAAGGAACAUCAGUGGCGAAAGCGGCCACCUGGACUGUACCUGACGCUGACACGCGAAAGCUAGGGGAGCGAACGGG
rnacentral:rRNA from 1 species